UACGUAGGGCGCAAGCGUUAUCCGGAAUUAUUGGGCGUAAAGAGCUCGUAGGCGGUUUGUCGCGUCUGCUGUGAAAGACCGGGGCUCAACUCCGGUUCUGCAGUGGGUACGGGCAGACUAGAGUGCAGUAGGGGAGACUGGAAUUCCUGGUGUAGCGGUGGAAUGCGUAGAGAUCCGGAAGAACACCGGUGGCGAAGGCGGCUCGCUGGGCAGUGGCUGACGCUGAGGCGCGACAGCGUGGGGAGCAAACAGG
rnacentral:rRNA from 1 species